rnacentral:rRNA from 1 species
GAUGAACGCUGGCGGCGUGCCUAAUACAUGCAAGUCGAGCGAACGGACGAGAAGCUUGCUUCUCUGAUGUUAGCGGCGGACGGGUGAGUAACACGUGGAUAACCUACCCAUAAGACUGGGAUAACUUCGGGAAGCCGGAGCUAAUACCGGAUAAUAUUUUGAACCGCAUGGUUCAAAAGUGAAAGACGGUCUUGCUGUCACUUAUAGAUGGAUCCGCGCUGCAUUAGCUAGUUGGUAAGGUAACGGCUUACCAAGGCAACGAUGCAUAGCCGACCUGAGAGGGUGAUCGGCCACACUGGAACUGAGACACGGUCCAGACUCCUACGGGAGGCAGCAGUAGGGAAUCUUCCGCAAUGGGCGAAAGCCUGACGGAGCAACGCCGCGUGAGUGAUGAAGGUCUUCGGAUCGUAAAACUCUGUUAUUAGGGAAGAACAUAUGUGUAAGUAACUGUGCACAUCUUGACGGUACCUAAUCAGAAAGCCACGGCUAACUACGUG